GGGACCUGGGAACGACGUGAGGAAACUGAGGGUAGGGUAAUCUCGAUCUUUUCACGAAUUUGCUGGUUCAUGGAGUCACGAAUGAAGUUUGAGUGAUAGUUAUCAACAUUAAAAGUAUACAUGUGCCCUUAACUAGUGGAGAUAAGGUAAAAUACAGCGGUUCUUUCGUCUGUAACGUUUCACGUCGAAACGGGUGCAGAUAUGAAGCGCAGCCGAGCCCCUCAGACUCAAAAUGCGAGGUAGAAAAAAAAUUAUCGCAAUAAAUUUUGCGUUCAUAUGAGCUCAAGUUGGUAUUUUUGCAACUGCAACUAUAUUUGUAUCCAUCCAACUUUUACUGGUCAGAUCGUGCAAUUUCAACCUAUGUCGUUUUAUAAUUGAGCGGAAGUGACCAAAGGGGUUUUCGAUUAAUUUGGGUUCACCUUUCAAAGUCUGACAACUAAUUUGAAUUACAAAUAACCUUUAAGAUUAAAAUUCGAACUUGUGAUCAGUCUUGCACGUGGAAAGAGUUUACGGAGUACAAGAAAUUUCAUCUUCUCUUUCAGCUACUCUGAGGCUAGGAAACAUGUUUUCUUUCCAACCUUAUUGCUUUGGAUACCAUCGUUAAACCAAGUGCGAGUUUCUCGGAAACUGUUGACUCGAGUUCUUCGAGUCAGUGGUUCAAAUGCGACGUCGAAGAUUGAUGGAUGUCAUUCUGUUACAAAUUUUCUCCAGAAUAAAGUAUAGAGGGAUUACAAAUCUGAAAAUUAACAAAUGCAAAGGAGGAAAGAAAAAAAUGAUAAUUUCUUUAAAGAACAGCAGCAUGCUUGGGAUAGGAACUUCCAAAAAGCAAGAAAUUCAAGCGAGGAACGAAAAACAGGAUAAUAUCUGACACUGAGACUGAGUGGUGAAUACUUCUGAUGCUUCACGUGCGAUCGAAGCAAAAGACAAGACCUGUUCAAAAGCACAAAGCAGAUGCAACACUUUUCCCAAAGAAUACGGCAAGUCCAAGACAAGACUCGUCUUCUGGAGCCUAUGACUUGAAGCAAAACGUAAGCAACUGUAGCAAAUGCCGUUCCACGAUUUUUUUGGACGCUGGAGAAAAAAUUCACGUCAAGGAAUGUUAAGACAUUUAAUUUUCCCUGCCUACCAAAAACUUGUACUUUAAAUGUGGAUGCGCCAUUUUGUUUUUUUUUCAAAUUGAUUCCGUAAACAACCUGUUCAAAUGUGUUAAAUUUUCCCGCCAGAAGACUUAGAAAAAAAUACGCCUGCGCCAUUUUUUUUCAAAUUGAUUUCUGUAAGUAACUUCUGUUCAAAUGGGUCAAAUUUUCCCGCCAAAAGGCUAAGAAAAAUACGGCGCCCAUAAUACGCAUGCGCCAAUUUUUUUUUAAAAAAAAUCUAUACAUUAGCUACUAAAUUAAAGUUUAUUCACUUGUAAUUUCGUAUUUAAUACUCAAUAAAAUGAAGGUGCUAGUUCUUUGGUUGUCUUUUAUUUUCUUUCACUGUAAACUCGCCCGAAUAUAUCUCAUGAUAAAACACUUUGUUUCAAAUUCUUCUCAAUUCGUUUAAUUAAAAAGGUGUCCAGAAAAACUUUUCGUGUAUAUACUAAGACUUUUGGCGUGAAAAUUUGGAUGAAUUUGCACAGCGUUUCCCCUGGCAACUUUUUCGACAAAAAUUUCAACAUAGUGUGCUUAAAAGUUUCCCGCCAAAAUUCAUUUUAACAGCAUCUCGUGCAAAAAAUUUAAAUUCACAGGGCCAAUUGUUCUUUCAAAAUAAAAAUAUAAUAAGAACUGAGAAAGUUCGGAUUUUCUUUCGAAUAAAUUUUCCAUCGACUAAGCCUUCCUUUUUCAAAAUAUUUUGGACUAUAAUUUCUUGCACGAGAUGAAGUGUAAGAAUUUAAACAUAAAAGUACCAUGGCAAGAUUUAGAAAGCUCAAUCAGAAUUAUCGUUGAAAUUUAAUUGUCUUCAACGUUUUUGUUUGUUUUUUUACUCCGUCCUCUCGCAGCUUUUAACUUGCCAUGAUGCUUUGUUAAGAUGAAAGAUCUUUAAAGCAUCCAGCCGGUUUUCGAAUGUAACACAGGAAAGAACAUUGAAAAGCACUAAAAAGAUACUUCAAGAUUUCGAAAUUGAAUUUCAGAAGCAAUUUGAACAGCAAAUCAAUUUGGUCCAUUGCAACAGCUGAUAGUUUUAUUUUGGUUUGCCACAUGAGUGGAAAAGUUGUCUUUUUUAAUAAACAAAUAAUCUGCACGAUCUUUUUGUUGAAGAGUUUUGAAGAUGAAUCAAUUUAAGAAAUGUAAAAUGAUGAAUUUUUAGAGCAUUCUUUCUGGAUUUAAGUGGCAGAACUUCCUUUAGUGGUGAAAUUCGGGCAUGAUCUAUUUAUAUCCCCAAAUGUUCCUAUAGUAAAAUUGUCAAAUGUCUUAUUCAUACUUAAAAAAUUUAACGACGAAAACCAACGAAUUUUGUAGAAUUAAUUUUCUUUUGUACGUAUUCCUGUGUGACAUUGAUUGACAGCAUAAAGAUCUCCCUCCUACUUAAAGAGUGAUUGACGUUACAUUUUAAAAACUCAAUGCCUGGUUGAAGUAAUUAGGAUUUCUUAUGUCCAAUUCAAUGUAACUUUCAAAUUGUUUCUAUUAAUUAUUGAGGAGAUGGCGUUAUCUAAACCAGUCAGAGCACAAUGAAUUUGAAAAUUCAUACGUACCGAGGAGUAUCACAGCGCUAUAUAAUUCUAUAUAUCAAGUUUCGAACUCGUUAGGCUAGCACGUUUUGCAAAGUUAAGCUGCUUUUUCACGAAUUUGCAACCUCUAUGAGCAAUUAAAUACAUAUCCCUUUUUCAUCGGUAAUAAAUUGCGAAAAUGUUACGAAACAUAAACAAUCAAAGAAGGACAAUGAAGCGCGGGAUUUUAUCUCGAACCAUUUUUUCAAGAAAGACAUCUGCACUGAAGCCUGUGCGAACAAUCCCAACCUACAUAACGGAGUAAUUUCAUAAUCUCAUGAAAUUAAAUGUCUCGUGACUUUGUUCGUAUAAUUAAUAAUUAAUAACAGCUAAAUAUUGGCAAUUUUCUCACUGAUUGAUUAUAGCCAGACAAGUGUGAACGGAUGAAUUAUCGUGCCGUCAAUCUGGCAACUUUGUGCACAAAUUUUCGAACAAACGAAUUGUAUCUUAAUUUCAUCAAACAAAAUUUCCAAAACUGCUUAUUCCUCGUACUGACCUAAUAACUUUUAAUUGUUUUGUUCGCGAUUUAUUGAUAGAUCGAUUAUCUCAAUUCUUAAAUUACUUUUCAUUCAAUCUGCUAGCGAUAAUCAUAUUCCACGUCCAAUUUGGAAAAAAUAUUUUCCGCUGAUUAAUGACUUGCAAAAACGACAAUCUAUAUUCUAUCGAAAGUGACUGAAAAUAUCUCAGACUGGUUUAUGUAACGACAACUGCAGUUGUGACCGGGCAUUUGAGUUUUAAAGAUGUGACUUUCAAAAUGGCAAGAGGACAUUGGUACAUCCGUUUCAAACCCCUCCCUAAAAAAAAAACCUUAACACAGUAGCCAAAUAUAUUAAUGACUUUUAAAUCUUAAUGAAACGUCAAACCUAAUGUCCUCUUGUAAACUGGAACGACCUCAGUUAAUGGCAAAUAGCAGUACACAUCAUUUUAAGACGGCACUGUACAAGUUAUUGGUUCAGUUUUGAAUAACAAAUGCCUCUCCUUUUAAUAAAGUAAACUUAGUCGUCGGUUCAAUUCACGUCGAGAAGGAAAAUAUCAAUUAAUUCAAUUUUUCUGAACUCUUUGAUCUGAAGAAAAUUAGAAGACUGAUGAAGUUUUCCUUUUCAAUGAAAUUGGCGAUCGUGUCGUGUAAUCGUCUGAGUUAAAGUUGUUCUUUCGUUAAAGGACUGUUGUCUAUGACAGCGACUAACUUUUAGUCAAUCUGGGUGGAAGUCAUUGCAAGACGAUCAAGUUAUUGUUCGUAAAAGUGAUUGGUCAGUUUUUCUUGGUGCUAUCAGGCGCCAGCCCCAGUCAGCAAUCAUGGAGCUCUUUUUUAUGCGUCAGUGUUGAUUAUUUGAUAAAGUUAGAAAGUGCCGUUGGUUGAGUUCUGUUUAUGUCUUAAGUAGUUUGUUUUUGAUUUUCUCAGUUUACUGCUGUUGGGGUAUUCUUUCCUUGCUUAAUAAACCGCUUUCCAAAGUCA